AUUGAACGCUGGCGGAAUGCUUUACACAUGCAAGUCGAACGGUAGAGGGGGCAACCCCUUGAGAGUGGCGAACGGGUGAGUAAUAUAUCGGAACGUGCCCAGUCGUGGGGGAUAACGUAGCGAAAGUUACGCUAAUACCGCAUACGAUCUACGGAUGAAAGCGGGGGACUCGCAAGAGCCUCGCGCGAUUGGAGCGGCCGAUAUCAGAUUAGGUAGUUGGUGGGGUAAAGGCUCACCAAGCCAACGAUCUGUAGCUGGUCUGAGAGGACGACCAGCCACACUGGAACUGAGACACGGUCCAGACUCCUACGGGAGGCAGCAGUGGGGAAUUUUUGGACAAUGGACGCAAGUCUGAUCCAGCCAUUCCGCGUGCAGGAUGAAGGCCCUCGGGUGUAAACUGCUUUUGUACGGAACGAAAAGGUUUCUAUUAAUACUAGGAGCUCAUGACGGUACCGUAAGAAUAAGCACCGGCUAACUACGUG
rnacentral:rRNA from 1 species